rnacentral:piRNA from 1 species
GAAGAGUCAGAAAUUUUGUGCCUCGAGUU